GGCCCCGCACAAGCGGUGGAGCAUGUGGUUUAAUUCGAUGCAACGCGAAGAACCUUACCAGGGUUUGACAUAGUACGAAGUUUUUUGAAAAAAAAUCCACCUUCGGGAACGUACAUACAGGUGGUGCAUGGCUGUCGUCAGCUCGUGUCGUGAGAUGUUGGGUUAAGUCCCGCAACGAGCGUAACCCUUGUUUUUAGUUGCCUUUCGAGGAUAUUUAGAAAGACUGCCGAUUAUAAAUCGGAGGAAGGUAAGGACGACGUCAAGUCAUCAUGCCCCUUACACUCUGGGCUACACACGUGCUACAUUGGGUAGAACAAUAAGUUGCUAAGUUGCGAAACCAAGCGAA
rnacentral:rRNA from 1 species